rnacentral:rRNA from 1 species
UGCAAGUCGAGCGGUAGAGAGAAGCUUGCUUCUCUUGAGAGCGGCGGACGGGUGAGUAAUGCCUAGGAAUCUGCCUGGUAGUGGGGGAUAACGUUCGGAAACGGACGCUAAUACCGCAUACGUCCUACGGGAGAAAGCAGGGGACCUUCGGGCCUUGCGCUAUCAGAUGAGCCUAGGUCGGAUUAGCUAGUUGGUGGGGUAAUGGCUCACCAAGGCGACGAUCCGUAACUGGUCUGAGAGGAUGAUCAGUCACACUGGAACUGAGACACGGUCCAGACUCCUACGGGAGGCAGCAGUGGGGAAUAUUGGACAAUGGGCGAAAGCCUGAUCCAGCCAUGCCGCGUGUGUGAAGAAGGUCUUCGGAUUGUAAAGCACUUUAAGUUGGGAGGAAGGGCAUUAACCUAAUACGUUAGUGUUUUGACGUUACCGACAGAAUAAGCACCGGCUAACUCUGUGCCAGCAGCCGCGGUAAUACAGAGGGUGCAAGCGUUAAUCGGAAUUACUGGGCGUAAAGCGCGCGUAGGUGGUUUGUUAAGUUGGAUGUGAAAUCCCCGGGCUCAACCUGGGAACUGCAUUCAAAACUGACUGACUAGAGUAUGGUAGAGGGUGGUGGAAUUUCCUGUGUA